rnacentral:rRNA from 1 species
GUGGGGAAUAUUGGACAAUGGGCGAAAGCCUGAUCCAGCGAUUCUGCGUGAAGGAUGAAGCCUUGUGGGGUGUAAACUUCUUUUCUGGGAGAAGACGAAUGACGGUAUCUCAGGAAUAAGAGACGGCUAACUACGUGCCAGCAGCCGCGGUAAUACGUAGGUCUCGAGCGUUAUCCGGAAUUACUGGGCGUAAAGCGUCUGUAGCCGGAUAUAUAAGUCUGUCUUUAAAUACUCUGAUUCAAUCGGAGAAAAGGGAUAGAUACUGUAUAUCUAGAGGAUUUUAGAGGUUAGUGGAAUUUCCGGUGGAGCGGUGAAAUGCGUUGAUAUCGGAAGGAAUGCCGAAAGCGAAAGCAGCUAACUAUAAAAUAUCUGACGGUCAGAGACGACAGCUUGGGGAGCGAACGGGAUUAGAUACCCCUGUAGUCC